rnacentral:rRNA from 1 species
GUGGGGAAUAUUGCACAAUGGGGGAAACCCUGAUGCAGCAACGCCGCGUGAAGGAUGAAGGUUUUCGGAUCGUAAACUUCUAUCAAUAGGGACGAAACAAAUGACGGUACCUAAAUAAGAAGCCCCGGCUAACUACGUGCCAGCAGCCGCGGUAAUACGUAGGGGGCAAGCGUUAUCCGGAAUUACUGGGUGUAAAGGGAGCGUAGGCGGCAUGUCAAGCCAGAUGUGAAAGCCCGGGGCUUAACCCCGUGGAUUGCAUUUGGAACUGGCAAGCUAGAGUACAGGAGAGGAAAGCGGAAUUCCUAGUGUAGCGGUGAAAUGCGUAGAUAUUAGGAAGAACACCAGUGGCGAAGGCGGCUUUCUGGACUGAAACUGACGCUGAGGCUCGAAAGCGUGGGGAGCAAACAGGAUUAGAAACCCUAGUAGUCC